GCUCUCUUCUCCUGCUAAGCUUUGCUGCCCGGUAGUAAUUAAAACCUUCUGCCACCGCCAUAGCUACUGCUGCUGCUGGAACCGCCAUAGCCACCUUGGUUUCGUGGUUGGGCAAAGUGUUGGCCUCCCCCACCAUAGGGGCCAGAGUUUCUGCCUCCAAAAUCUCCUCCUUUCGUGGGUCCGAAAUUUGAAGAAUGACUGUUGUAAUUGCCAAACUCAUUAUAGCUUCUGCCUCCUCCAAAGUUGCUUCCAUCAGAUCCAUUAUAAUCGUCCCCACUGCCACCAUAUCUAUCACCCCUUUGAUGGCCACCAAAGCCACUUCACCCACCGAUGUUUCCUCUGCAACCAAAGUUGUCAUCCACCACCUCCACGACUACCACCAAAGUUUCCAGAAUCACUUGGAUCUCUUUGGCCGGAUGAAGAACUAACCACCUCUUGCUUAAAUAGACCUUUCCUUACUUCACAGUUGUGGCCAUUCACAGCAUGGUAUUCUUGAAUGACAACCUUGUCUACAGAGUUAUGGUUGUCAAAUGUUACAAAAGCAAAGUCUCUCUCGCCACUGUCUCGGGCAGUCAUGAGGACAAUCGCUCCAAUUUUCCCUACUGCUCAAAAUAAUUUCUUUUUUUUUUUUUUUUAAUUUUUUUUUCAACGUUUAUUUAUUUUGGAACAGAGAGAGACAGAGCAUGAACGGGGGAGGGGCAGAGAGAGAGGGAGACACAGAAUCGGAAACAGGCUCCAGGCUCUGAGCCAUCAGCCCAGAGCCCGACGCGGGGCUCGAACUCACGGACCGCGAGAUCGUGACCUGGCUGAAGUCGGACGCUUAACCGACUGCGCCACCCAGGCGCCCCAAAAUAAUUUCUUUUUUUUUUAAAUAUUUUUAUAUGUUUUUAUUUAUUUUUCAGAAAGAGAGAGAGAGAGAGAAAGCAUGAGUGGGGGAGGGGCUGAGAGAGAGGGAGACACAGAAUACGAAGCAGGCUCCAGGCUCCGAGCUGUCAGCACAGAGCCCGACCCAGGGCUCGAACUCAUGGACUGUGAUCAUGACCUGAGCUGAAGUCAGACGCUCAACUGACUGAGCCACCCAGGUGCCCCUCAAAAUAAUUUCUUAGAUGGUGUUCUUCAGUGUCUUCUUUAAUGCCACCAACAAAAACCUUUUUCACAGUAAAUGAGCACAAGGUCUUUGAGAAUCUUCUCUUGGGACAGCCCUUUUUGGUUCCACAACUCUUCCACCUACCAUGGCUGUGUCCACCUCCUCCACAGUGGCCUGCAUGACAAACCCAAAGCCUCUGGAGUGCUUGGUGUUUGGAUCUCUCAUCACCACACGGUCCGUAGGCAUUCCCCGUUAUUCAAAAUGGCGCCUCAGGCUCUCCUCCAUUGUUUCUAAAGGUCAAGCCACCAACAAAGGGCUUCUGCAGCCUUUCAGGCUCUUUGGGAGACUCUGACUUAGAACAGCGGUGGGAGAUGAGACUUUAAUGAUGCUUACUUCGCAGUAUCCAUGAGCAGCAAG
rnacentral:lncRNA from 1 species